rnacentral:rRNA from 1 species
CCGGCACGGGUGAGUAACACGUAUGCAAUCCACCUGUAACAGGGGGAUAACCCGGAGAAAUCCGGACUAAUACCCCAUAAUAUGGGCGCUCCGCAUGGAGAGCCCAUUAAAGAGAGCAAUUUUGGUUACAGACGAGCAUGCGCUCCAUUAGCCAGUGGCGGGGUAACGGCCCACCAAGCGACGAUGGAUAGGGGUUCUGAGAGGAAGGUCCCCCACAUUGGAACUGAGACACGGUCCAA